rnacentral:rRNA from 1 species
UACAGAGGGUGCAAGCGUUGUUCGGAAUUAUUGGGCGUAAAGGGCGCGUAGGCGGUGCCACAAGUCACCUGUUAAAUCUCCGGGCUUAACUCGGAGCCUGCAGGCGAAACUGUGGUGCUGGAGUGUGGGAGAGGUGCGUGGAAUUCCCGGUGUAGCGGUGAAAUGCGUAGAUAUCUGGAGGAAUACCGGUGGCGAAGGCGGCAUCCUGGACCGAGAUUGACGCUGAGACGCGAAAGCGUGGGGAGCAAACAGG